rnacentral:rRNA from 1 species
CGGCCAGUUCCGAUGGUGAACCUGCGGAAGGAUCAUUACCGAGUGAGGGCCCUCUGGGUCCAACCUCCCACCCGUGUCUAUCGUACCUUGUUGCUUCGGCGGGCCCGCCGUUUCGACGGCCGCCGGGGAGGCCUUGCGCCCCCGGGCCCGCGCCCGCCGAAGACCCCAACAUGAACGCUGUUCUGAAAGUAUGCAGUCUGAGUUGAUUAUCGUAAUCAGUUAAAACUUUCAACAACGGAUCUCUUGGUUCCGGCAUCGAUGAAGAACGCAGCGAAAUGCGAUAAGUAAUGUGAAUUGCAGAAUUCAGUGAAUCAUCGAGUCUUUGAACGCACAUUGCGCCCCCUGGUAUUCCGGGGGGCAUGCCUGUCCGAGCGUCAUUGCUGCCCUCAAGCACGGCUUGUGUGUUGGGCCCCCGUCCCCCUCUCCCGGGGGACGGGCCCGAAAGGCAGCGGCGGCACCGCGUCCGGUCCUCGAGCGUAUGGGGCUUUGUCACCUGCUCUGUAGGCCCGGCCGGCGCCAGCCGACACCCAACUUUAUUUUUCUAAGGUUGACCUCGGAUCAGGUAGGGAUACCCGCUGAACUUAAGCAUAUCAAUAAGCGGAGGAGUCAUAGCUG